rnacentral:rRNA from 1 species
UACGAAGGGUGCAACCGUUGCUCGGAAUUAUUGGGCGUAAAGCGCACGUAGGCGGCUUGGCAAGUCGGAUGUGAAAUCCCUCGGCUCAACCAAGGAAGUGCAUCCGAAACUGCUGAGCUUGAGUACGAAAGAGGAUCGCGGAAUUCCCGGUGUAGAGGUGAAAUUCGUAGAUAUCGGGAGGAACACCAGUGGCGAAGGCGGCGAUCUGGGUCGAUACUGACGCUGAGGUGCGAAAGCGUGGGGAGCAAACAGG